UAUUUUCAUUUUAAUCAUUAACAGUUAUUUAAUGCACAUUACAGAAAAGCCUUAUGGUAAAUUUAUAAUAUUUAUGGGUGCUAUUGCAGUGUGGGUGUUUAAGAGGCCAGGGUGGUCACGGGCCCCCAGACAUCAGUAAGUGUUGCAGAGGGAAGUCUCCAUUUAUUUUCCCCGAAGCAGAACCUUCCCAUUUCCUU